rnacentral:rRNA from 1 species
UACAGAGACUGCAAGCGUUUAUUCGGAUUCACUGGGCGUAAAGGGUGCGCAGGCGGCCGUGUGUGUCAGGUGUGAAAGCCCGGAGCUUAACUCCGGAAUUGCGCCUGAAACUACAUGGCUAGAGCAUUGGAGAGGGUAGCGGAAUUCACGGUGUAGCAGUGAAAUGCGUAGAUAUCGUGAGGAACACCAGAGGCGAAGGCGGCUACCUGGACAAUUGCUGACGCUCAGGCACGAAAGCGUGGGGGAGCAAAAAGGG